GAUGAACGCUGGCGGCGUGCCUAAUACAUGCAAGUCGAGCGAACAGAUGAGGAGCUUGCUCCUCUGACGUUAGCGGCGGACGGGUGAGUAACACGUGGAUAACCUACCUAUCAGACUGGGAUAACUUCGGGAAACCGGAGCUAAUACCGGAUAAUAUAUUGAACCGCAUGGUUGAAUAGUGAAAGUCGGUUUUGCUGUCUCUUCUAGAUGGAUCCGCGCCGCAUUAGCUAGUUGGUAAGGUAACGGCUUACCAAGGCAACGAGGCGUAGCCGACCUGCGAGGGGGAUCGGCGACACUGGAGCUGAGACACGGUCCAGACUCCUACGGGAGGCAGCAGUAGGGAAUCGUCCGCAAUGGGCGAAAGCCUGACGGAGCAACGCCGAGUGAGUGAUGAAGGUCUUCGGAUCGUAAAACUCUGUUAUUAGGGAAGAACAAAUGUGUAAGUAACUAUGCACGGCUUGACGGUAACUAAUCAGAAAGCCACGGCUAACUACGUG
rnacentral:rRNA from 1 species